GCAACCGUAGCUUAACUGGUGAGAGUGCCUGUGGAACAUUCUGGAGGUCGUGGGUUCAAGUCCCGCAGGGCG
rnacentral:tRNA from 1 species